rnacentral:rRNA from 1 species
ACGCUGGCGGCGUGCUUAACACAUGCAAGUCGAACGAUGAAGCCUAGCUUGCUAGGUGGAUUAGUGGCGAACGGGUGAGUAAUACGUGAGUAACCUACCUUUAACUCUGGGAUAAGCCUGGGAAACUGGGUCUAAUACCGGAUACGACCAAUCUCCGCAUGGGGUGUUGGUGGAAAGCGUUAUGUAGUGGUUAUAGAUGGGCUCACGGCCUAUCAGCUUGUUGGUGAGGUAACGGCUCACCAAGGCGACGACGGGUAGCCGGCCUGAGAGGGUGACCGGCCACACUGGGACUGAGACACGGCCCAGACUCCUACGGGAGGCAGCAGUGGGGAAUAUUGCACAAUGGGCGCAAGCCUGAUGCAGCGACGCCGCGUGAGGGAUGACGGCCUUCGGGUUGUAAACCUCUGUUAGCAGGGAAGAAGAGAAAUUGACGGUACCUGCAGAGAAAGCGCCGGCUAACUACGUGCCAGCAGCCGCGGUAAUACGUAGGGCGCGAGCGUUGUCCGGAAUUAUUGGGCGUAAAGAGCUUGUAGGCGGUUUGUCGCGUCUGCUGUGAAAGGCCGGGGCUUAACCCCGUGUAUUGCAGUGGGUACGGGCAGACUAGAGUGCAGUAGGGGAGACUGGAACUCCUGGUGUAGCGGUGGAAUGCGCAGAUAUCAGGAAGAACACCGAUGGCGAAGGCAGGUCUCUGGGCUGUAACUGACGCUGAGAAGCGAAAGCAUGGGGAGCGAACAGGAUUAGAUACCCUGGUAGUCCAUGCCGUAAACGUUGGGCACUAGGUGUGGGGGACAUUCCACGUUUUCCGCGCCGUAGCUAACGCAUUAAGUGCCCCGCCUGGGGAGUACGGCCGCAAGGCUAAAACUCAAAGAAAUUGACGGGGGCCCGCACAAGCGGCGGAGCAUGCGGAUUAAUUCGAUGCAACGCGAAGAA